rnacentral:rRNA from 1 species
AGAGUUUGAUCAUGGCUCAGGAUGAACGCUGGCGGCGUGCUUAACACAUGCAAGUCGAACGAACCUUCGGGUUAGUGGCGGACGGGUGAGUAACGCGUGAGAAUCUGCCCUCAGGAGGGGGAUAACAGUUGGAAACGACUGCUAAUACCCCAUAUGCCGAGAGGUAAAAUGAAUUUUGCCUGGGGAUGAGCUCGCGUCUGAUUAGCUUGUUGGUGGGGUAAAGGCCUACCAAGGCUUCGAUCAGUAGCUGGUCUGAGAGGACGAUCAGCCACACUGGGACUGAGACACGGCCCAGACUCCUACGGGAGGCAGCAGUGGGGAAUUUUCCGCAAUGGGCGCAAGCCUGACGGAGCAACGCCGCGUGAGGGAUGGAGGCCUUUGGGCUGUAAACCUCUUUUCUCAAGGAAGAAGAUCUGACGGUACUUGAGGGAUAAGCCACGGCUAAUUCCGUGCCAGCAGCCGCGGUAAUACGGGAGUGGCAAGCGUUAUCCGGAAUUAUUGGGCGUAAAGCGUCCGCAGGCGGCCGUUUAAGUCUGUUGUUAAAUCGUGGAGCUCAACUCCAUCACGGCAAUGGAAACUGUUCGGCUUGAGUAUGGUA